CGCCAGACUCCUACGGGAGGCAGCAGUGGGGGAUAUUGCACAAUGGGGGAAACCCUGAUGCAGCGACGCCGCGUGAGUGAAGAAGUAAUUCGUUACGUAAAGCUCUAUCAGCAGGGAAGAAAAUGACGGUACCUGAGUAAGAAGCCCCGGCUAACUACGUGCCAGCAGCCGCGGUAAUACGUAGGGGGCAAGCGUUAUCCGGAAUUACUGGGUGUAAAGGGAGCGUAGACGGCAAUGCAAGUCCGGAGUGGAAUGCGGCAGCUCAACUGCCGAACUGCUCUGGAAACUGUAUGGCUUGAGUGCAGGAGGGGUAAGCGGAAUUCCUGGUGUAGCGGUGAAAUGCGUAGAUAUCAGGAGGAACACCGGUGGCGAAGGCGGCUUACUGGACUGUAACUGACGUUGAGGCUCGAAAGCGUGGGGAGCGAACAGGAUUAGAUACCCGAGUAUU
rnacentral:rRNA from 1 species